GGGAUAUAGCUCAGCUAGUAGAGUGCUUGCCUCACAUGCACGAGGCGAUGGGCUCAAUUCCCAGCAAGCACCA
rnacentral:tRNA from 1 species